rnacentral:tRNA from 1 species
ACCAAAAUGGCUCAGUUGGGAGAGCGUUAGACUAUAGAUCGAAAGGUCCCUGGUUCGAUCCCGGGAUUCGGCA